rnacentral:rRNA from 1 species
AAUGAACGUUGGCGGCGUGGAUUAGGCAUGCAAGUCGAGCGAGAAGCCUCCUUCGGGAGGUGGACAGCGGCGGAAGGGAGAGUAAUGCGUGGUUACGUGCCCUGAGGACCGGGAUAGUGCGAGGAAACUUUCAGUAAUACCGGAUAAUAUCUCAGGAUCAAAUGGUGUGAUUCCGCCUUGGGAUCGGACCACGUGCUAUUAGCUAGUUGGAGGGGUAAUGGCCCACCAAGGCUACGAUGGCUACCGGGUGUGAGAGCAUGACCCGGCUCACUGGGACUGAGACACUGCCCAGACAUCUACGGAUGGCUGCAGUCGAGAAUCUUCGGCAAUGGACGAAAGUCUGACCGAGCGACGCCGCGUGCGGGAUGAAGGCCCUCGGGUUGUAAACCGCUGUCAGUUGGGAGGAAAUGCAUAGAGGUUAUCCUUUAUGCUUGACCGAUCUUCAGAGGAAGGACGGGCUAAGUUCGUGCCAGCAGCCGCGGUAAGACGAACCGUCCAAACGUUAUUCGGUAUCACUGGGCUUAAAGCGUGCGUAGGCGGCUUGGUAGGUGAGAUGUGAAAGCCCACGGCUCAACCGUGGAAUUGCGUUUCAAACCACCAGGCUUGAGGAUGGCAGGGGUGAUGGGAACUGAUGGUGGAGCGGUGAAAUGCGUUGAUAUCAUCAGGAACACCGGUGGCGAAGGCGCAUCACUGGGCCAUUUCUGACGCUGAGGCACGAAAGCUAGGGUAGCGAACGGG